AAAACAUUUAAAACAUGAAAAGAAAAUAAGUACGAUCGAAUUUCAAACAUGUUUUUACUUCUUUUCAUAUUUUACAAGCGUGUUAGCGAAAAUAUUGCAUCUGAUGUCAACACUAUGAGAAAUAUUUCCAUUUAAGACUGAUUAAGAAACAAACAAACAUUCCUUAUACCGUAACACAUAAUUAGAUAAGAGUCUAAAGAGACUUUAAAACCUAAUCUAUCAUGUGACAUAGCAAUGUAAUAAAAAUGUCAUAUUAUAGCUCAUCUAACACCAGUCCGAAUUGCAAUGGAUCCGUCCAAUUAAGCGCAUCAGGUCAUAAAUCCCCCGCUGUCACGACGUAGUGACCUUAAAUUGGAUUAGUGCGAGAGAACAUACAGGCUCUGAUUAAGGACUUUAUUCAGGUAUGUCGGUUCAUAAAGACGCCUGAUGUCGGGACGGUGAAGGCACGUCUACAAGAUAAUGUGGUGUAAACAGAUGGUAAACGUAAUUUCCGGACACAGAUGCGACUUGCAAGGGUCAAAAUCUUUAUAUUAUGAUCUCUAUGUGCAUGCGAAUAUCUUCAGCCGACUUGUAAAAUGUCCAAACAGCUCCAACUAGCUACCUAAGAUGAUAACACGGACGAUAAAGGAAUAAGGGUAUGUCUGCUUCACUACGAUUGACAAAACUUGCACAUCUACUUUCAAGCUGGUGAAAGCACGACUUCAAGAUGUAAAGAAGAUGGUAAUUUCCGGCCACAAGUGUCAAAAUCUUAAAAUUAGGGUCGAAGAGAAAUAUACGUCUCCUUGCGGUAAACAGAAUACAGCACGGCAUUUUGCUUCAUAUACGUGUUAUUCAAAAGACAACAACAGUUUAAAGCCAAAGGAACCCAAUCUAACAAAUUGUGUCAGUCUUUGGACAUUGGAAAUUCUCCCCUUUACUGAUGAAAUACCAUCUAUCAUUUAAUGGAUAUUUAACUAGAACAGAACUCAGUCAGCAUUUACAUCUCUGUAAACGGCAUCGAUAUUGCCAUUUAAUUUAUCAUAUAUUUAUCGAUUUAUAACUGGUAUUCUGCGGACUCCGUAAUUGAUACAUUGCCAUUUUCUUGACAAAAUAUUGAUAAAUCAGUUGAUAGACCGAUACCGAAUUUGGAUUUUGCUGUUAUCCGAAUUCAGAAAGCAGCAUAAUACAAUAAGUACAAUGAUUAUCAAGAUUUAUAAAAAAUGUUUCACCUAGAGUUAUUUUGACAUAGGACAUUCUACACGUCUGACAAACCGGAAGUAAAGGCAUGACGUCAUUUAACCGGAAAUAUAACACAAAACCUGGACUCGGCAUAUGGAUUCACCUUUUCGUUUGCCUAAUUUUCUUAAAAUAUCUAUGGGUUUGAAAACUUAAGAUUUUCUCAAUUCGAGCAAACAACAACAACAACUACAAAACCACCAUAAUGUAAAUUCUGUAUGUUUUGUGCAAAUUUGUCAAGAGGAUACAUGUACAUAAAUGUGUACAUGAUAUUUUAAAUUAGUUGUCAAGAAUAUUAUUUUACAUUUGUGAUAUAAUAGAUGAAUCUAAUAUAAUGAAGUUAUACAUA
rnacentral:lncRNA from 1 species